GGGUAGAGGCGCGGGUGGUCAUGAAUACUUCCGUCGAGAAGGGCAUCGAUGAACCGGGAGGAAAGGGGCCCCCGCCGAAGUCCCGGAGACGGCCGCGUGCCGGGGCUGGGGUUGUGCCGAAGAGGUACAACACUGUCACCGGGUAUUUUUCCCCUUGGGUAUCCGGUGGUGCGCUAUCU
rnacentral:ncRNA from 1 species